GGAUGUUAAUCUACAUCUCGAGUAGAUCAACGUGAUAUACUUGAAGUCUCAAAACCGAUUUCCGAUGAGUGAGAUAUUGUAUGUCAAAGUUUGGAUGUUGAAGAGGGAAAAUAACAUUUAUGCUAUGUUAUCCCACAUUGGAAAACAUAGAGAUGUUUUUCAUGUAUAAGAAUAGCAAAGCACAUGGAGUUGAUAAAUUGACUUGUGGGCUUGAUCUAAGUACUAGCCUCGCGCGCACACACACGCGCGCCGCCGCCGACGAUCGAUCGGACG
rnacentral:lncRNA from 1 species